CCGACAACACGCUCGACGGACCGCGCACGCGCGCCGACACGGCCGGCCAUCGGCCACGGUCACUCUUCGGCGCCCUCCCUAUACGCGCGCGCACGCACACGAAGCCGUUUCUGCCAACUCUGAGAAUAUUCCAAUUUUUUUCAUGUUCCGUUCUUUCACCGCUCACUCAUUCAUCCAUCUCUCUCGCUCCCCGUUCCGCCCGAAACAUUCACAUCAUUCGCUCACGCGCCGCCUUUCCCGCAACACACCUAAUAUUAUGUUUGGGAUCAAUUCGUUCAUUUUUUAUUUUCUCCAACUAAAAAUGGUUAUGUCUCGACGUGACUUCACGCGUUCCUAUAAUAUUUAACCGAUUUUUUUAUAUUUAUUUCACCGUCAAUGCCGCCACCGCUGUACACUAAGAAAACAAUCAGUAUUACAGUUGCAUUAGCAUCCGGCAUCGUAUCCCGUACUAUUUAACUGCACAGGAAAAAAACUGUACCAGUGAUUCGUUGGACAACCGUGAUCGAAUUUCAGUCAUUAUACUGAAUGCAUCUCAAAGAAGCCAUAUACACGCGAGGUAACACCUUGCAGGGACGUUCGUCGGUUAUCGAAUAACACAAUCAAACUGCACGUAAUACAUUUCAAUACAUACGUAACAUAUGAAGCACGAUGAUGAUAUAAAAAUAACUACUCGAAGUGCUUAUCCCCCUGAACGACCAACGUUGUGAGUCUCAACGGUGAAGAAUCAUUGACUGAAAAAGAAUAAUUAAUAAAAACGUGUUUGUUGUAGUGGCAACAACAUCGAAAUCGAAAUUUCAGCGGGAAAAAUGUAGUCACAUCCAACAAUUGCUGGAAAUAUACAAUUGUAAUGGAAUACGAGUUCAAAGUGGCAUUCAUUGUUAAGUCAUGUUAUAGACCAACGUUUCAUCGGCGCACCCCUGCAUGCAGCCACAGCGGAAAGUCCGUCGUACGACCAAUGCAUAUUUACUUAUUUACUGUUGUUUGUGCAGUAUUACAUAAAGACUUCGGCCCAGUAAUAUCAAGACGGUACGAGUCUGCACUAGGAGCGUCGUCGUAUAUAGGUAUAUAUACUUCUUAGUACAUUUAAAGUUUUACACUGUUGCGGCCUUGUGUUGCAUUGUGAACGCAAUAUUGCAGCGGUACCUUAGGAAUGAUGUAUAAUAUAAGCACGUUUAAAAUAUCAUUCACGCCAGCGUAUUCGUAUACUGCUAUGUAUGCUAUACUGCAGGUGUGGGUCAAAAUGUUUCAUACGCCACGAAGCAUCACUCCACAGUCAAUCUAUAUUAUAUACAUAUAUUGAAAGUAUAAUGAAUAAAUAUAAAUACUGAGAUUUAGUAAGUAUGAACGCAGAAUAGUAGACAGUUUUCAAGAAGAUUAGGAAAUUCCUGGUGAAUGUUGGUUAAUCAGGUACCUACGUAGGCAGACAGACCGACACUGGACUAGUUCAAUUAUGUGUUUCAUCUGUACACUGUAUAGUUGUAAUUUAUAUAUUUUUAUAAUCGUAUUUUAUA